rnacentral:rRNA from 1 species
AUUGAACGCUGGCGGCAGGCCUAACACAUGCAAGUCGAACGGAGUGGCGGACGGGUGAGUAAUGUCUGGGAACUGCCUCAUAGCGGGGGAUAACUAUUGGAAACGAUAGCUAAUACCGCAUACUGUGAGAUGGACCUGAGUUGUAUUAGCUAGUUGGUGGGGUAAAGGCGCACCAAGGCGAUGAUACAUAGCCGACCGGAGAGUGUGAGCGGCCACACGGGGACUUAGACACGGCCCAGACUCCGACGGGAGGCAGCAGUAGGGAAUCUUCGGCAAUGGACGGAAUUCUGACCGAGCAACGCCGCGUGAGUGAAGAAGGUUUUCGGAUCGUAAAGCUCUGUUGUUAGAGAAUCGGUAACUAACCAGAAAGGGACGGCUAACUACGUGCCAGCAGCCGCGGUAAUUC